rnacentral:rRNA from 1 species
UUAACACAUGCAAGUCGAACGGAAAGGCCCUGCUUGCAGGGUACUCGAGUGGCGAACGGGUGAGUAACACGUGGGUGAUCUGCCCUGCACUUCGGGAUAAGCCUGGGAAACUGGGUCUAAUACCGGAUAGGAGCCAUUUUUAGUGUGAUGGUUGGAAAGUUUUUUCGGUGUAGGAUGAGCUCGCGGCCUAUCAGCUUGUUGGUGGGGUAAUGGCCUACCAAGGCGGCGACGGGUAGCCGGCCUGAGAGGGUGGACGGCCACAUUGGGACUGAGAUACGGCCCAGACUCCUACGGGGGGCAGCAGUGGGGAAUAUUGCACAAUGGGCGCAAGCCUGAUGCAGCGACGCCGCGUGGGGGAUGACGGCCUUCGGGUUGUAAACUCCUUUCGCUAGGGACGAAGCUUUUUGUGACGGUACCUAGAUAAGAAGCACCGGCUAACUACGUGCCAGCAGCCGCGGUAAUACGUAGGGUGCGAGCGUUGUCCGGAAUUACUGGGCGUAAAGGGCUCGUAGGUGGUUUGUCGCGUCGUCUGUGAAAUUCCGGGGCUUAACUCCGGGCGUGCAGGCGAUACGGGCAUAACUUGAGUACUGUAGGGGUAACUGGAAUUCCUGGUGUAGCGGUGAAAUGCGCAGAUAUCAGGAGGACACCGAUGGCGAAGGCAGGUUACUGGGCAGUUACUGACGCUGAGGAGCGAAAG